rnacentral:miRNA from 1 species
AGACCUGGCCGAGACCUCAGC